UACGUAGGUGGCGAGCGUUGUCCGGAAUUACUGGGUGUAAAGGGCGCGUAGGCGGGGGAGCAAGUCAGAUGUGAAAGCCCACGGCUUAACUGUGGAACUGCAUCUGAAACUGUUCUUCUUGAGUGCUGGAGAGGAAAGUGGAAUUCCUAGUGUAGCGGUGAAAUGCGUAGAGAUUAGGAGGAACACCAGUGGCGAAGGCGGCUUUCUGGACAGUAACUGACGCUGAGGCGCGAAAGCGUGGGGAGCAAACAGG
rnacentral:rRNA from 1 species